rnacentral:lncRNA from 1 species
AUGGCAGCACCGCCCCGCUGCAUCCCCAUCCCCAUCCCCAUCCUCAUCCCCCCGCACCCCUCCCCGGGCCGAGCCGAGCCGUGCCCGAGCCCCGGUGCCGGGAAGGCGCUGGGGAGAGGCUGCGGGAGCCGGGCGGGGCCGGCAGGGCGCCCCCACCCCCGCCCCGCCAUGCGGCUGCCGCGCUGCGCUGGCGCAGGGCCGGCGGGGGGAGGAGAUGGGGGAGGAAAGGGGGGGAAGGCGCUGCCCUGCUGGGCUGCACCCCUGCCUGCCUCCGCCCGGCUGCCACAUCCCUGCAAAUCCCUGCCCCAUCACUGCCCCAGCCCUGCUCCAUCCCUGUCUGCCCCAUCCCUAUCUGCCACUUCUCCAGCCCUAUCCAGCCCUGCUCCAUCCUUCUUCCCUGAUCCAGCCCUGCCCCAGCCCUACUCCAUCCCUACCCACUCCUUCUCCAUCCAUCCCUGCUCACCCCUGCUCACGUUUGCUCCAUCCACCCCUGCUCCAUCCCUCUUUGCCCCAUUCCUGCCCCACCCUGGUCCCUCCAUGCCCCAUCCCUGCCCCAUCCUUGUCCCGUCCAUGCCCCCUCUGUGCCCCUCCCUGCCCCCCUCCCUUUUUUCCACCCUCCCUGCGCUCCUCCCCCCCCAGCCCGCCCCCUCCCCUCCUUUUCCUCCCCUCUCCUCCUUCAGCACCGUGGGCAGCUCCCGGCCGCGCCUGCCCUGGCCGCUCACAGCCCGCAGCCUCUCGAGCCGCGGGCGGGGGGCUCUGGGGACCCCCGCAGCCCCUCGAGGCGUCUCCCUCCCGGCAGCCGGCCUCUACCCCCCCGGGAUAAGCCCCCCUCGCUGCAGGCAGCCCCGCGCAGCCACAUCUCCGCCCUGCCGCGCACCCUCCCCGCUCCCGCAGCCUCCCCUCCGAAAGGUUGUCUCGCCCCAAAAGAGACAAGCCCCAAAGGACAGCUGUCCGCGGGGGCAGGGUGUCCCCAGGAAGGCAAAUCACCCCCCCCAGGGUUGCCUCCCUCCCGGUACGGACCAACGAGCCAAAGCUGCCCCAGCGGGGAGCCGUGGCAGCACCUCCUGCGCUGCGCCCCACGCGCGGUGA